UACAGAGGGGGCAAGCGUUGUUCGGAAUUACUGGGCGUAAAGGGCGCGUAGGCGGCCUGUUAAGUCGAACGUGAAAUCCCCGGGCUCAACCCGGGAACUGCGUCCGAUACUGGCAGGCUUGAAUUCGGGAGAGGGAUGUGGAAUUCCAGGUGUAGCGGUGAAAUGCGUAGAUAUUCGGAAGAACACCAGUGGCGAAGGCGACUUACUGGACACAUAUUGACGCUGAGGUGCGAAAGCGUGGGGAGCAAACAGG
rnacentral:rRNA from 1 species